GAAGGGGUUUGGCUCAGUGGCAGAGCAUCUGCUUUGCAUGCAGAAGGUCUCUGGUUCAAUCCCUGGAACCUUCU